rnacentral:rRNA from 1 species
UACGUAGGUGGCAAGCGUUGUCCGGAUUUACUGGGCGUAAAGGAUGCGUAGGUGGAUAUUUAAGUCAGAUGUGAAAUACCCGAGCUCAACUUGGGAACUGCAUUUGAAACUGGAUAUCUAGAGUGCAGGAGAGGUAAGUGGAAUUCCUAGUGUAGCGGUGAAAUGCGUAGAGAUUAGGAAGAACACCAGUGGCGAAGGCGACUUACUGGACUGUAACUGACACUGAGGCAUGAAAGCGUGGGGAGCAAACAGG